GCUGGAAGGAUAUUUUUAGUGACUCUAAUAAAGACUGGAUCUUGUGGUUUGCUGCAAAGACGUUAUUAGAAGCUGCUGCUGGAGUUAGAAAGGGGUGAUGAAAAGUUAUGAGACAAGAUUUUCAGAGAAAGCACUGCCCAACACAAGAAACAUGGCUCAGGGAUGAUGUUUCCUAACACGGGGGACUUGAUGUAUUCAUUUUUUUCUCCUAGAGGCAUUGGUCUUCUGGUUAUAACACUACACAGUGAAUUAUCAAGCAUUUCCCAGUAUCUGUAUGGAAACAGAUGGUAUUGGGACACGUGGGAAGACACCAAAGAUGUGUGUGCAGAGAGGAAAGAUCAUGUGUGAACACAGCAAGCAGCAACCACCUGCAAGCCCAGGAGAAAGGCCUCGGAAGCUAACCGGUGGACACUUGGAAGUGGAUUCAUUCUCCA